GUGACCAGGGCUUUGCAUAGGGAAGUGUUAAGAGCAAGCUGUUCCCUUCCCUUCCGAUAACCAAGCCGUGGGGAGGGGGGAGCUGGGGCACGGGAAGUAGAUAGCUGCAGAAAGUUUGGAGAAAUAUCUGAACCUCUGGGUGUGCUUCCCAAAGCAAAUGCAGGCUCUGCAGCUGUGGGGCUGCCAACGACUACACUAGCAUUCGCCUUCUACUGCGUAGGGUAGUCUCUGAAAUUGGGUUCAGAAUAGGAUACAGCAGUUUAGAUUUUUAAAACCACAGGAAAUUCAUGGUUCAGGCCAAUAUGGUCCCCGACCCACUCUGCUGAGGAGAACAGAGUCCAGACAGCUGAGUUAUAGUUCAGAAAAAUCGGAGUGACCUGGGAAACGCAGCUCUUUGGUAUUCAAUUGCUUUGUUUAUUUCAGGGAGGAGCGUGUCAGAGGCUGGAAGGGGUACUGAAUUCUGGGGUUUAUUGGAAUUUUUAAUCAUUUAAUUGUUUCUCGGUCUCAGCAGCUUCCUGGACCCAGAGAAGCUGCGUGAAGCCACAUUUAGUGCACACACCAAUUCCUGAUACACAACAUUCCGGGAAGUUACUGCAUACAUCAGCUGUCUGCUUAUUUGUGAAGAGGGCUCCAGCUUCGGUGACACAGGGACGGCUGCUGAGACACUCUCCAGAAUGUGAGGACUUUUUAGUCACUACUUUUUGUGCUUCUAAAUAGACUUUUGUACAUCACUGCUCCAGGUGCUGUUCCGAUCAGCUAACUCACGGGAAAGAGCAGCACAGACCCACCUUCCCCUCAACUUCAGCACUGCGUUUCCCUGUGACUAGGCUCUAUGAAGCGGGAAGGCUCUCUCUGCCCUGGCCUUCUCUGCACUAAGCCACCAUCCUGGCUGGGCUGGGCUGAGCGCUAAUCAUCUAGACAUGAUGGUUAUUUAUUACAGCCACAAAGCUUUCGUCAGCUGGUUCCCAGAAACCACUAAUUUCCUUCUACAACACAAUUAGCACUCCAUCAAUCCUGCCUUCAUGCUCUUCGAUCCUUCAGGAGCAGGUCAGCAAUUCCCAACUAGCAUCCAAACCAAACUCUAUACAUGCAGCUUCUAGAAGACACCCCAAACUGGUCUGCAUGGGAGUGGGCCUUGGGGCACAAUUCCAGUCCCUUCCCAAGCUGUCUGUACCCAUUUACAUUGCCCUGCUCCUGUUCUCUGGCCAUCCCUCCCUUCUCAGCAUCAGACUUCAGGCUCAAGCCUGAACAAACCAGUUUCAGGCAGGAGGAGUCUAAACCUGCUCCUUGAGGAUGGCCAGCUAACUCCCCCCCAUGCUGGCUACAAAGAGCUAAGCCUUGCGCUUCAGGCUGGGAUGUGGUCUAAUUAAACAGAGGAGCUGACCGAGAGAAGCCCCUGGCACCUGCCCAGAGCACACCAAGAUGUAGAAUUUGGCUGGAUGAUCAAAGACUCGACAAAAAACCUUCAAAAUCUCAACAGCUUCAUUAAGCAGGAAACCUGAACCAAAUCCCCACAGGUGUGGGAACCUGUGCCACAAGGGCUCAGAUAGCUCUGCCAAACCAGCGCAUGACUGCAGGGGACACGCUUUGCAUGGAAUGAGUCGAUUAUCCUUUAUCCCUGGUCAGAAAGAGGGACUUGCCAAAGCUAUUAAAAAGCGGAACAGUGUGCAGUAUUGUCAGGGAAAAACAGAACGUCCAGUUACCACACCGAUUAGGGAAUUCUUCCACAUUGCUAACUGUCGCCUAGCCAGUCCAGCUCUUCUCUACAAUGCAUUCUGCACCAUGUUCUAGGAGUGGAAGGUUCUUUCCCUUGCACGUGCUCCCUCUAGAAGAAUAUUCACGACUGCCCUAGAUUAAUCUCAUUACAGAUUACAAGACAAGGAGGAAGGGCGAGCUGGCUCCAGUGGUGCCGAGAAGAAUGGUUAUAACGUGCUCCCCACAAAGACUCAGAUGUGUGGAGUGGGACUUCAUUCUUGGGCAAUUUGAAACUUCAAAACAGCCUGCGGCAGAAUCUCCAUAGCAGGCAAAGCCCACUUGCUCCCUCCGCUCCCAGUCAGACAACUGCACUCAAAGAGCAAGAGGCUAUGGCUGGUUGAUUGACGUCUGCUCUUUUAGCCCUACUGGAGUGAAAUAACAGAAUUGUUCAAAGAGGGAAGGGGAGCAACCAGUCCCUCCUGGGUCAGACUAUUACCACUACUUAGGGCAGUGAAGAAUUUUCAGACCCGGAGAAACUCCUCUGCAUUCAAAACAGGGGCUCUUCAUAUGAAGUUCAAAUGCACAAUACCUCCACCUAUGAGUCGUGUCCUUAGAAGGGUGGAGGGACCAGACAGCUCAUCCCCAGUUCCUGGCAGCACAAGGAACGGAACUGAAGCAGGAAAGAGAAUAUAAACCAGCACAAUGAACGUGACCAAGGGGUCAGCUGCCACCCCAUCCUGGAUCUCAUCUGCAGCCAUGACUGCGGAAGGACGACGCUAUCCAAGUUUCCAAAGCUUUCGACGCUUCACCACCAGCUUAGGAUCUGCUGUUCACAGCUGUCGGGAUUCUGUCAUCUUGGGGGAUUUUCUAGCCAAGUUGGCACAGUUCCAAAGGCUUCUCCGGUGUCAGCAGUCGGAGGGAGAAAGGGGAGCCAUUUGUACAUUUCCCCCUAGCCAGAUCACCUGCCCCCAGAAGACACAACUAAGGAGUACAGCUGAGAAGGAGCGCUUUCGCAGUAGGCUAACAGACUCACCACUAGCCUUGCCUACACUAAGGACAUUUUGGAAAGAUUCCUCAGUAUUGCUGUCAGUCCGGAAGAACCAGCGCUAGCAAAUCGGUUAGACUUUCUCCCAGCAGGCAUGGAUGACACAGGGUUGAAAAACGUACCGGCAGCAGCCCCGUCAGUUGCAACAAACUCCUGAAGUGGUUCCUGUUUAACAGCUGCAUUGUGGAAGAUUCAUUGAGGACCUAAUCCUGUGCUCACUGAAGUCAGCGGCAAAACUCCUAUUGAGACUUCAAUAGAUGCAGGAUCAGGUCCUAACAGGACAAGUUCACCUGUGUAGCUCUGCAUAUGCUCUCCCCAACCCUUCAGAGAGGUUCUCCCUGCAUGAACCAUUGACCUCGGGGGUUCUGGAAAGGCACAGAUAGAUGUUUCUGAGGUCAAGAACGCUCCUGAUGCAAGUAGGCUUGGCAAAAUUCAAUUUUUUUUUUCCAAUUGUUGACUGAUAACAUCAAUGUUCAUAUUUAAGCAUUUUUUAUAUUUAUCCCCCACAGCAGUGGGAAAUUAAUGACAGUACUUGUUGAGAUUCAAAAAAUAAAGCCUCAUAACUUAAUACAUUAUCAACCUCACAUGUCAAAAUCCUCAAAGUAAAUAUCCUUAAAUCAAACUUUAAUAUGUUUUCAAGCAGCAUUUUUCUUACUUUGCCUAUCUGUACAUUUCAGUAAUUGAGGAAAUACUCUUUUUGUUGAUUUGUGUAUUUAGAUUUUUAACAGUGAAUGUCAAUUGCAUCAUAAUCCUCCCAUUCCCCCCAUAAAAGGCAAGGAAAUAGUGAAAACAUCUCAGCAUUCACAUUUUAAACAUCCUAGCUCUCGAGCAGCUGGUGAUAAGGCAUGUUUUCAGGUAGAGAAUCAGAGGAACCCAGAUCCUGAAAACAGACAGUUGACAAGUAUCAGGGGGUAGCCGUGUUAAUCUGUAUCUACAAAAACAACAAGGAGUCUGGUGGCACCUUAAAGACUAACAGAUAUAUUUGGGCAUAAGCUUUC